GAUGUGAAAGCCCACGGCUCAACCGUGGAGGGUCAUUGGAAACUGGAAAACUUGAGUGCAGAAGAGGAAAGUGGAAUUCCAUGUGUAGCGGUGAAAUGCGCAGAGAUAUGGAGGAACACCAGUGGCGAAGGCGACUUUCUGGUCUGUAACUGACGCUGAUGUGCGAAAGCGUGGGGAUCAAACAGGAUUAGAUACC
rnacentral:rRNA from 1 species